UACGGGGGGGGCAAGCGUUGUUCGGAAUUACUGGGCGUAAAGGGCUCGUAGGCGGCCAACUAAGUCGGACGUGAAAUCCCUCGGCUUAACCAGGGAACUGCGUCUGAUACUGGAUGGCUUGAAUCCGGGAGAGGGAUGCGGAAUUCCAGGUGUAGCGGUGAAAUGCGUAGAUAUCUGGAGGAACACCGGUGGCGAAGGCGGCAUCCUGGACCGAUAUUGACGCUGAUGCGCGAAAGCCAGGGGAGCAAACGGG
rnacentral:rRNA from 1 species